UACGGGGGGGGCAAGCGUUGUUCGGAUUUACUGGGCGUAAAGGGCGCGUAGGCGGCCACCGCAAGUCGACUGUGAAAUCUCCGGGCUUAACCCGGAAAGGUCAGCCGAUACUGCGGGGCUAGAGUGCAGAAGGGGCAACUGGAAUUCUCGGUGUAGCGGUGAAAUGCGUAGAUAUCGAGAGGAACACCUGCGGCGAAGGCGGGUUGCUGGGCUGACACUGACGCUGAUGUGCGAAAGCUAGGGGAGCGAACGGG
rnacentral:rRNA from 1 species